CUACAGAAUCCACCAGUGUCUAUACAUGCAUCGGUUCUUGUCAGCUAAUCUGUCUGCCUCUGGUGAAGCAAUAUAUUUCUGCAGAUUAGAAGGGAAAUCUAGUCUCAGUUUCUCACAGUAACCCCUCUGUAUGCUGUCUUCUUGAUUCCCCUUAUCUCUGCAGACCAAAGCCCAGGGGAGUCCCCAGUUUCUGCUCUUCCCUGACCCAUCUCUCAUCCUCCAUGAGGCAGUGAGCACGGAAUGGAGCCCUCAGGAUGGGAAGUGGGAGGGGAAUGGAGGAGAAAUAGAGGCCUCACCAUGUGUCAGAGACUGUUCUGGGCCGGGGGUGCACCAGUAGACAGGGAAACAAGUCCUGUGAUCCUGUGGUUCUCAUGGGCAAGGGUAGGGAGUGGGAUGGAAAGGAUGACAUAGAAUAAACACGUAAAUAAAAUAAUCUCUGGUCACUGGUCAGGACACUUGCCAUGUCUUUGUCUGUUUUGUGUUGUUAUAAAGAAAUACCUGAGACUGGGUAUUUUGUAAAGACAAGAAGCGAAUUUAUCUCACAGUUCUGCAGGCUGUACAAGCAUGGCCCCACCUCCAACACAGGGGUCACAUUUCAACCUGAGGUUUGGAGGGAACACAUCCUAAACCCCAUCACACCGUAAAGGGCUGGCCACGUGGUGAUGCAGGGACAAGCAUGUCGGACAGCAGGAAUGGCACUCGCUAAGACCUGGAGUUGGGGAUGACCUUGACGUGAUCAUGGAACUGAGCGAAGCCAGUGUGGCAAAAGCACAGUGAGGAAGGGGCAGAGGCGAGAGGUGAGGGCAGAGAAGAGGCUGGAUCACAGA
rnacentral:lncRNA from 1 species